rnacentral:rRNA from 1 species
GACAGAGGUGCCGAGCGUUAGGCGGAAUCACUGGGCUUAAAGCGUGUGUAGGUGGAUCGUUAAGUACCUUGUGAAAUCCCACGGCUCAACCGUGGAACUGCUGGGUAUACUGGCGGUCUUGAGCCACCUAGGGGCGAGCGGAACAAGCGGUGGAGCGGUGAAAUGCGUAGAUAUCGCUUGGAACGCCAACGGUGAAAACAGCUCGCUGGGGGGUGUGCUGACGCUGAGACACGAAAGCCAGGGGAGCGAACGGG